CCUACGGGAGGCUGCAGUGGGGAAUAUUGCACAAUGGGGGAAACCCUGAUGCAGCGACGCCGCGUGAGUGAAGAAGUAUUUCGGUAUGUAAAGCUCUAUCAGCAGGGAAGAAAAAAGACGGUACCUGACUAAGAAGCACCGGCUAACUACGUGCCAGCAGCCGCGGUAAUACGUAGGGGCCAGGCGUUAUCCGGUUGUACUGGGUGUAAGGGGAGGGUAGACGGGGCGGCAAGUCUGAAGGGAAAGGCGGGGGCUUAAACCCUGAACUGCUUUGGAAACUGCCAUGCUAGAGUGCUGGAGAGGUAAGUGGAAUUCCUAGUGUAGCGGUGAAAUGCGUAGAUAUUAGGAGGAACACCAGUGGCGAAGGCGGCUUACUGGACAGUAACUGACGUUGAGGCUCGAAAGCGUGGGGAGCAAACAGGAUUAGAUACCCCUGUAGUC
rnacentral:rRNA from 1 species